UGCAGUCGAGCGCAGGAUAUCGACGGAACCCUUCGGGGGGAAGUCGACGGAAUGAGCGGCGGACGGGUGAGUAACACGUAAAGAACCUGCCCUCAGGUCUGGGAUAACCACGAGAAAUCGGGGCUAAUACCGGAUGGGUCAUCGGACCGCAUGGUCCGAGGAUGAAAGGCGCUUCGGCGUCGCCUGGGGAUGGCUUUGCGGUGCAUUAGCUAGUUGGUGGGGUAAUGGCCCACCAAGGCGACGAUGCAUAGCCGACCUGAGAGGGUGAUCGGCCACACUGGGACUGAGACACGGCCCAGACUCCUACGGGAGGCAGCAGUAGGGAAUCUUCCACAAUGGACGAAAGUCUGAUGGAGCAACGCCGCGUGAACGAUGAAGGCCUUCGGGUCGUAAAGUUCUGUUGUAAGGGAAGAACAAGUGCCGCAGGCAAUGGCGGCACCUUGACGGUACCUUGCGAGAAAGCCACGGCUAACUACGUGCCAGCAGCCGCGGUAAUACGUAGGUGGCAAGCGUUGUCCGGAAUUAUUGGGCGUAAAGCGCGCGCAGGCGGCCUCUUAAGUCUGAUGUGAAAGCCCCCGGCUCAACCGGGGAGGGCCAUUGGAAACUGGGAGGCUUGAGUAUAGGAAAGAAGAGUGGAAUUCCACGUGUAGCGGUGAAAUGCG
rnacentral:rRNA from 1 species